rnacentral:lncRNA from 1 species
GCGAUUUUCAGAGCUCUGCCCCCUUUUUGACACCUGGUGUGCUUUUCAUCUGCAUCUACAGGAUGCUUCAAGCAUGUAUACAGGGGUUGACUCACUGUCCACUUUCCCAACCCCAGUCACCCAUUAACAUGGUACCUGUUGUCUAAGGUCCAGGGUACACCUACCCUUGUGUCCACAUGCCUCUUGUGGUUGGAUCCCAGUGUCACCUUGUUGAUGAGGCUGAUCCCACACUAAGGGUCCAGUAAUAAGUUUCAAAGUAGUGUGGCUGUCUUUCCCCAAAAUAUGCUGGACACAGGUUUUGAUGCAGCCAGCAGGAACCCAGAGGCCUCACAAUACCCACCCCAAUGUUCAGAUCCCUUGUUGAAAGGGAGAGCUUUUAUUUAGCAGAUGGUCACUUAAACUGGACACCAUUUAUGGGUUUCAGUGGUAAAUGUUUCCUACCCUGAUAUUUCUCAAAUUUCCUGGACCCUUACUGACAGGAGAAUGGAUGAACUCUCAUGAACAUUAGCAAUAGGACUUCCCUGUCUUUGACCUUCUGAAGGCUCAGCAAUGGCCUUUCCAGUGUGAAGACACUGUAGAGCUUUAAGUACAAUCCUGGCCUUUGGCCAGAGCACCUCUACUAAAGUACAACUCUGGAUGAUUGUAUAACCACCAUCUUUGAUGGGUCUUGGAGCUCCAUACUCUAUGGAAGGUGGAAGACAAGAGCUUUCCAUCUGGCAACAAAACAGGUGAUCUCACCCAAC